rnacentral:rRNA from 1 species
GGAAUAUUCGUCAAUGGGGGAAACCCUGAACGAGCAAUGCCGCGUGAGUGAUGACGGUCUUAUAGAUUGUAAAACUCUGUUGUAAAGGAAGAACCCUUAUUAUAGGAAAUGAUAAUAAGUUGACGGUACUUUACCAGAAAGCCCCGGCUAACUACGUGCCAGCAGCCGCGGUAAUACGUAGGGGGCGAGCGUUAUCCGGAUUUAUUGGGCGUAAAGUGUGCGUAGGCGGUUUAUUAAGUCUAAGAUUAAAGCCCGAGGCUUAACCUCGGUUCGUUUUAGAAACUGGUAGACUUGAGUGUGGUAGAGGCAAGUGGAAUUUCUAGUGUAGCGGUUAAAUGCGUAGAUAUUAGAAGGAACACCAGUGGCGAAGGCGGCUUGCUGGGCCAUUACUGACGCUGAGGCACGAAAGCGUGGGGAGCAAAUA